CGCGGCCGUACGGCGGCCACAUGGCAGCGGAACCCUUCGGUCGGGGCUGAGCGGCGGCCGGCCGCGCGCUGGUAGCGGGCUUAUGGAGCCUAACCGCGCCGCGGGGCGGGGGAAACGCGGCACCCUGCACGGCUCCCCGGGCCUUAUUUCUGGUGUGGGAGUGGGCACUCAGCCCGGUGCGGGAGGUUUGUUAAGCCUCGUUGAUAGAUCUGUUUUCUGCGCAUCUUUUGUGCUUCUCUUUAAUCGCACUGGUAGUGCAGGCAGUUAGUUGGCUAACAAAAGCAGUAGCGGGGAAACUGCCUCGCUUAAAACAUUCAGAGUGACCCUGCAGAACGGUGCCAGACAACGCGGGGUCAAAGCCAGCGCAUAUCCGGACUUGGGGAAAUGGGCCUGUCCUUUCAGAAUCAAUAACAUUUUGUUAUUUAGCAAUGUUUAAUGAAUAGGGCAUCCCCGCCGCUCUCUGAAGUAGGUGAGCAGUUCCAUUUCUUGGAGAUGAGCAGCUCCCAGGGCCCCAUGCCCACGAGGGACUGCGGUGGGACAGCUGCAGCUCCCUGGGCUCAUUGCAGCUGCUGCUCCAAACCCUGCAGCCUUUCUCCAGUAAUCAACUUUCAAGAGGAGAUUUUUUUUUCUUUUUUUCUCCAUAAUAGCUAUGUUCAUGAAAAUGACCUUAUUAAUUAGCAGUAUUGGGGUUGAUAUUUUUAUAAAUCAAAUAUCUUAAAAUGCAGAAUCGAUGCAUAUAGUCGUAUUAGGAAGUUACAUUACAUAAGACAAGAGACUUGGCAGAAGGAAACAGACACAUCAUUCCAUUACUUUGUCUGUCACUACUACCAAGUAUAUCCUUAUUUUCACUUUCCUUUUGAUAAAUACCUUCUGUAUUUUCCUCUGUUGGCAGUGGAAGCAUCAUUUCAUUUGCAGAUAAAAGGCUCCCGUGAUGUAGAAGAGGCAAAAGAUGUCAAAUUAUGUUGUCAAUUAAUAACAUAACACAGCAUUAUUGGAAAUGUUCUUAUGUGUACUAACUUGAAUGUUUGCUGAAUUGGUGUAAUUAUUAGAUGCAUAAAGAUUGCAUGUUAAUAUAAAACAAGCUUCCUGUAACAUGCUGUUAAUAGGUAAAACGGCUUUCUUAAUUGCUAUUCUAUGGAGAAAAACAACCUAUGGAGAAAAACAAAUAAAUGUUUUGGUCAUGUUGCCAAUAAAGUAUCAGUAAGUUUUCGUCUGUAAAAAACAAUCCUAUAUUUCUUCCACUUUUCCCUUAGUUAUCUGCAUUCUGAUAAACUGACUGGGGUUGUUGGAACAAAAGCAUUGCACGCUUCCCAAUGUACCAUGUCCUAAGAGAAACAGAUCUAGUGAAUAAAUACACAUGCAUUUAUUGGUAAUAAAAUGCACAUUCCUGUUUGAAGCAGGAUCAAACAACUGAAGUGAUGGUUUCUAUUGAGAACCAUAUGGCAUUUGGAGCCGUAGCUAUCUGCAGUAUGCUCAUAUCCAUGUUUCUACUGCCAGUGUACUGACUGACAAAUGUAUUCAAAAGGAUUUGUGAAAAUAAGACAUCACAGUGUAGUUGUUUCCCUUACUGCACUGCAUUACCUCAUGUUGCUGAAGCUCUUGCCAAGGCUGUACCCCACUGUAUGCUACAUACUUAAUGUAUGCUGAAUGGGAAAUAUGAAAACCUGAUUUUUCUGUCAUGUCACAGGAUCUUGCAUUCAUAUCUGCAAAAGAUGAGUUCAAAUUGCACGUUACACACGAGUUUUCUGUUGCAUUUUCAGUACACUCCCAACAUCUUUACACAGAUCUGUGAGUCUUUGUGUGCGUGCACAGCCUUACGUACUCAGAAAGUAUUUGUAAAAGCUUAGAAACCUCAACAGACCUUUUUUUCCCAUUCUGCAUUGUCAACUGAAAUAGUGGCAGGUGCUUUGCUGUUUUGUAGCUGUGCAGUAGUAAAUAACAAACCUGGCUUCUGCUCUUUAACACUCAAUUACGCACUGAUUUUAACACUCAGCACAGUCUUUUUUUUUUUUCUCUCCUUUUUCUUUGGUUUCUAUCAAACACCAAACCAUUUUAAAAAAAAAAGGAAUCUAAUUGGAGCAGAGUUUUGGGUUUAUGGGCAUAACAAGAGGCGAUUUCUAAACGCUAAGUUACUGAAAUGCAUCGAUAGGGCUUAGUUUUGAAUAGCACAGAAAGGGUUAAAUUUACAGUAGAAUAUGUAGCAUUCAUUUGUGUAGUUUGCUUUGAGAACUAAAGAAUUAAUGCUCACUUAGAUGCAGAUAGUUUAAUACUAACGUAAAAACUGAGUACAUGCAGAGGAUGUUGCUAGAAUUUGCAUUCCUGUCAUUCUUUGUUCACGUUCAAAAUUAUUAAUCAUGAUCACAUACUUUACUUUUCUGCAGGAGAUGUGCUUCAUUCCAUGCAUGAGUGGGCAGUAGUGAUUCCUAAUUUCUUUCAAGCUGUGUUUCUGGAUAUUUAUAUUCCUUCUGUAACGACAUGGCCAGCAAAAUAAAUGAAAAUCAAACAUAAUAAUUGCAAAUGGAAUAACCAGUAAUAUUUCAUGUUAUGAUUAUUCAAAACCAGGGUGCUUUAUAUUAAAGCAAUUAAAUGUAAGUUGGAUGCAGAUUUUUUGAAAAAGUUUGGCAUUUCUGAUAGAGGCACAAGAUAUAGACAUUAUUGAUGACUCUCCAAAGUAUUAAUCUAGUGGACACUUAACCCUGCCCAGCUGCAUGGAUUUUGGUGCUGCUCAUAUCUGGAAUUAAAGCAUAUCAGUGAUUUGUAUGGCGUGCACGUUUACACUUAUACUCAGUGUAUUGCUGCUAAAUUGACUACCGUGUCCAAAUAAAUACUAAAAAUAAUAUACAUACCAAAUAAAUACUAAUAAUACUAAAUUUUAAGGUUUUGGCCAUAAGCAGAUGAUUCUUAGAAAGGCUUCUGGCCUUCAUCACCACAUCUUGCGUUCUGAUUAAAGCAUGUUUGCUUUCUUGGAGGGGGCCUAUUUUCACUGUAGGUGAAUUUGCUUGGCACAAAGAAAAAAAAGAAACUCAUCUGGUUUAGUCCUAACUAUACAUGAUUUUUAUUUGUUUGUUUUAAACUUAAAGCUUCGUCUUCUCUGCUGUGCUUAAUUUUAUCCACUGAGUUUUUUGAAGUUGAAUUUAAACAUUAGAGUGAAAUAGUCUUUGGUAACAAGCUGUUACAAGUGGUUGCCAAAUGGUCUUUUUGUAGAAGGACAUACUACAGCAUUAUAUACCUCAAAUUGAUGCAUCUGUUUAUCUCCACACCACAUAACAACAGAUGUCAGUAAAGCACAGUUAGGAUAAGAAGUGUUGCUUUACAAACAUCCUUUCAGCUUCAGGUUAUUUAUUCUGUGCUGCAAAAUUGACAAAGUCAAGUGGGAGGAUAAAGCAUUCAUCUUUUAGGGUCACACUGAAAUGAAAUGGAACUUUCAUUAUAAUAAGUCAUACUUUAUCCCUUCCAUGCUGUAAGAGAUACAGACUGUAACUAUAGCUUGAGCUAUUUUUCCUUCUGUUCCACAGGUUACAGACCGAUUAAGAAUGCUGCUGUUGUGCUGUGUGCUACUGAGAACAUGUAAAUUUCAGUGGUUUUUUUUUUCCUAUACAGUUUAGAACUGUUCCACAGGUUUCAAAUAUAUACAGGUAGUUCAGGAAACUCAUUAAAAGCAUUCUUCAGAAAGCUAGUGCCUCUUUAGAUUCUACUUUGUCACUUCUCUUGGAUGCUAAGUAGGAGUAAGGCUUCAUCAAAACGAGCAGAGUAUUAAAAAAAAAGUACAAUCCAAAACUGAAUAGAGAUGAGUUUUUAACUCACACUAACUAUAGCUUUUGUUUCAGUAAUUAUGUGAUCUUAGGCUCUUUUGGAAGAAGCGAUGAGAUGUGGAUGUAGUGUGUGACAGCAGUAUAGGGGCAGCUGAGGGGAAGCAGUGUGGAGGAUAAUUAAGUUUGCUCUAAUCACGCUAUUGUGCGUCCAAUCCCCAACACCCCCCAAUCCAAAAAAAGCAAGUUUGUAAGUCUGCACAUACUCACUGUGGAAGCUUGAUGUGUGGGGUCUUCAUAUGGGGCUGGAGAAGGUGGCAGAAAUUCCCUCACCAGAAGUGUCAGUGGGAGUCAAAGUACAGCUCCAAUGCAGGUGAUGCUACUAAAAUUACAGGACAAAAGCACCAGACGUUGGUGGUAGUGCUUGUAAUGCGAAUGCUAGAGCUCCUCCACGUGGUUAAAGCUGUGCACUGUGCACAGGCUGGGCCCUCAGCCCUGGGCUGCAGCGGCCAGAUCAUUAGAGAAAGUUUUGGCAGUGAACCUGGUGAGCUUCAUUCAAUGCUCCGUGAUAGCUGCACAAUUACAGUACCAUUUUCUUCACUUUUACUGCUUCGCAGAUUUUUAAAUACAAGCACGUGGUGACUGGAAAAACACUACUUUGAACACAGCAGUUGAUAAGGAAAUAUGUAUUUCUUGAAAUAUAAAAAUCAUGAAGUGUUUACUGCUAAAGUAGUGAGCGUGCUGGUGGCAGCACAAACUUUGCUGUACUCAGGUAUGAUAUCAUCAGCAUGGUGACUUCAGUACAAGGAUGUAUGCCAUAGCAGAUUCACAUGAAGCUGAGAAGAUACCAAAUCAGUAGAGGCUGUGCCAGGAGCAUAAUUUAUCAGGCAUGCAGCAUGUCAAGCUUCUCUGCCCACGUGUGCCAGGAAUACGUAAUGUGUAACAUCAGGGAAGCCUGGCAGUUCUCACUCCUUGAAAAGACAAUGCAACUUAGGUAAGAUCAUUUUUAGAAGCUGAUAGAAAUAACCAUUAACUGCAGAACUGGUGUGAAGCACAGCACUGCUGGGUUAGAUUCUGCAUGAAUGUCACACAACACCUUCAAGAGACAGUUUGGACUAGAAUUUUUGAUUCUUUUAAUUUUAUACCUUUCUAUUAUUAAACAGAAUAGUAAAAAAGACAGUAAGUACCUACCAGAGUAACGUACCAUCAAUAAAACUGCUUUUCUCCUGUAGCUAAAAGGCAGGAUAUGUGAUGAUCUUUCAUAAGGUGUAUUUGUUGCAGAAUGAGGUUUUCCUAGUGCCCUGUGUGCAGUUCACCAUCGAUCUCAAGCCAGACUGUUGCACAGAACCACAAGAUAACAAUUGGAUGUCAUUCAAAACAUUUUUUCAAGGACAUUUUUGACCUUAAGUAAUAGAUAGCCCUUCCUGACCUGUAAUAAUGAAAGGAUUUUGUUUCUGGAAGCUAAAAGCAGACAAAUGCUCCAGAAGCUGCACAUACCUAACAGGAAAGUCUUACGGCAGCAGUAGAAAAUAGUUCAGAAUUUCCUAUAACAGAACUUAAUUGAGAAGUCCUACUGCCAAUAGCAAUAAUAAUAAUAAAAGCUUUUUAGGCUUUUAGAUAACUCCAUCUAUGGGUGGUGAAAUGCUACAGAUUAUAAUAUGUACAGUAAUUUUAGUAUCCUCCUGGGUUCAUUUUAAAAAAGGAAACUGACAAGUAUCCUACGUAUUUUAUACGCUUUAUAUUCUUUAAAUACCUUUUUUUGUACAGUAACAUCUGUCUAGCUUUUCCAAAGCGCUUAAAACAUUUUCAGCACAUCAGAGAAGCAGCAGCUUCACCUUAAAGAUCCACCUGAAUUGAAAUGCCUUGGACUUCAUGGAUUCACUAAAUGACAGAUUGAAAACAGCAAGGCAGCAUUCUCUAUAGCAAGGCUGAGUGGGCAGAGGUCUCAGCAGUGCCUCUUCAUGUAGGAAUGGGCUCCUUGCAUCAAUUCUGCUCAGCUGGGGAAGGAUUGCAUGUAGGAAUAAGAGACUCUGAAAGGACUGUCAGCAUCCUUACCAAAUAUUUGCUUGACAGAAAGAUGUCUAACCAAGCUAAUUCAAAGGAUGUGAUAUGUCUCAGUGCUUCAUUGUCAUUUGCCUUUGUCACAGCGCUACUGUUGUAAUUUAUUUCUGUUUCGGACAUUAGGACCAACUGCUUGUGUCCAUGUGCAUCAGAAGCAUGCGUUCUGAUUUGUAAGUGGUUACAAGCAAGACUUUAAAUGUGAUUCACCAAAAUUUGUCAUCAAUAUUUGUACAAAGGAUUCUGGAGUAAAGCUCUGAGGGGGCCGGGAAGUACUUUUAUUUUUUUCUCUGCUUAAGGAAUAACGUCAUCCCUUUGUAUAUUAAUGCAUUGGAUCACGCGUUGUGUUUUUUUGGCAGGGACAUUAACAUGCAUUAAGAGCUCUUGUUCUAUCAAGGCUUUGUUUGAUGACUGGUCUAAAAACCUCAGUUCAGAAUUGGGAUGAAGUAUGAGUACAUGUAUUUAAUGUUUGGAAAUCUGCAUUUCAGUAAACACUUCCAGCUACCUUAGAAAUUAUGUUGAUAAAAUGAUCAGUUUUCCUCUUCAGCUCUGUUCUCAAGAUGUCCUUGCUAAGAAGGGGACUGUAAGUCACAUCAAUCUGGCAAGUAUUUUGAUUUCAGUAUUGUAAGACUUUUUAGCUUGAGGUCACGUUGAGCUCUGGUAAUGUAGAAAUUGGCUUUAAAGCUCUAUCAGGAGCAGUCAGAGGAGCCCAAUUGUUUCUGAUCUAAGGCAAUGUAUAUUUUAAGUGGCGUUUUGGUAAGGCAGUUUAACAAUUAAUGUUAUGUUAUAAGGCCUUAAUAAGUUUAUUAAAAAUAAUAUUUCUAAAAUAGUGUAAGUAGAAUAAAAAAUAGUGAUUUCUUAAGAAUUAUAAAUAUUAGGGUCUUAGACUGAGCCAUGUAAAUCAGCUGCAUGGUUAUGAUCCUAGAUUUUAUUACUUUAACUUCUGAAGAAAUGUAGAUCUGCAUGAUGUUGCUCAUAGACAUUUUCUUAUAUUUCAGAUGAGAGAUUACAUGUGUGGAAUGCUAGUAGUAUUUUUCCUGUAACAGACAAAUUUAAUGACUACAGUUGCUAUGACUGCUGCAGCUUGCUAAAGAUUGUCUAAAGAUUAAAUACAUUAAGACCCAAACAGUUGGUAAACUUUUGAAAUGAAGGAAUCUUUACAGUAACGUUAUUGCAUGACUGGAGAGAGAGGGGAAUUUUUUUUUUCCCCCCUGUGACCAGUAUUGUACACUGUAAAUGUCUGCAGUUCACUUAAGUUGUUUUUAUUAAAGCACCAUUCUUUGGACAUCACCUCUGAAGAUGCCUGCACUGUGGGAUGAGGUAGUAGGUUGUAUAGUUUUAGGGUCAUACCCACAACUGGGAGAUAACUAUACAAUCUACUGUCUUUCCUAAAGCAGCAGAAAAAUCAACAAUGGAGACUGUUCAAUUUUAAGUUCAGUGUCAGAUUCUACCAAACUUCUGCACUUGGAGUGUUUAUUAUAGGAGACAAAUAUUUCUGCAACAUCUACAGCUUUUCUAGCAAGUGAGACUUAAACAAUGGAAUACAAAGAUUAAAGUGUUGUAUGGCCAAAAUGCAUCCCUUCAACUGUUUAGAAGAAUGUAAAGCUAUGAAAUUUGAGUGCUCAAGAUCCAAAAUUGUAACUUUUGUCUGAAGAGGUUACUGUUUCUAGAAGAAGGCAUUUAGAGAUUGUGUUCUUUUUCCCCAGUAAGCCUUAGCUGUACCCCAUCUAGCUGCUUCUGCCCUAGAGUGACUAACUAACUAAUAUCUUCCUAUAACAAGGAAGAAAAAAACAAACAAACAUGAAAACACUUUUUGGGACUGAAAGUUUAGCAUAGUAAGAGUGAAAAUGGAGCCAUUAAUGAGUAUUUAAGCCAGGAGUGUUACUAGUUAACCACUUGUUAAACAGUGCUAACUGUAAACUUGCAGUACAUGCCCUGGCCUAAAAAUGCAGAAGACCAAAAGCAGCUGGUAAGCUAAGCUGACUUCACAAAGCAGCUGCUAAGCAAGAAGAACUGCAAAAAGGAAGCAUUGGGCUCCUAGGAAGAGGUAGUAGGUUGCAUAGUUCUAGGGCAGGGAUUUUGCUCACAAGGAGGUAACUGUACAACCUGCUGCCUUUCUUAGGGCUUUAUUAUAACACCAGGACCAUUUUGGCUCCAUCCUAACCUCUGCAGCUUUGUUAUGUGAAGAGAAAUGAAGCUGUGUCUAAGCAUACUGAGGUUUAAUGAAACUGGUGUCUCAGCAAAUUUGGUACAGACUUGAGCAUAGUACUAUUAACUGGAAUUCAGUAUUGUGAAAUACUGUAUUUCAAGGCACACGUGUCAUUUUGUUGAUACUAGCGUUGUGAUAACUUACAAGGAAAAUACUGAAAAAAAUUCCAAGACUAAAAUCAAAUUCCCUACAAUUAGGAUGGAGGUGUUACAUACUUCUUUACAUUCAGUUAAGUACUUAUGCUACGUACUUGCAGACAGCUAUAACACACCUUCUUUUGGCUUUGUGAAGUUUCCAAGGAUCAACUUAAAACUCACCUGAAAGCUGGUGGGUUCCUGCAAGCAGGAAUAGGCUCUCCCAAUAAAUCACACUCUGUCAUGAAAUACUUGCAGUCCUACAGGAGUGUCUUCAAAGUGAAUGACUGCAUAUCUGCUAUGGAGUUGUAUGUUGAGAAGUAGAUGAUUAUUUAUUUUUUUACAUAAUUACAGUGCAGUACCACCGUUGUUCUUGUAGGACUUCAUCCAGAUGUGCUCUGCUGUGGGAUACAGAGACCCUUAAGUGCUGAUCAUCUUGUAAGAUUAAUGGUUUAUGCUUACAGCAGCCAGUUUUUAAAGUUCUGGCAAGACAGAAUCCUAGAUAUUAUAAACCUAUUUAGUAUGCUAAUGGAAAUUGUCUAUUCAUUGAAGUGUACACACUUGAUUUACUCAAUAAAGGAACUUUAUGGAACUCUUA